rnacentral:rRNA from 1 species
CCUACGGGGGGCAGCAGUGAGGAAUAUUGGUCAAUGGCCGGAAGGCUGAACCAGCCAAGCCGCGUGAAGGACGAAGGUGCCAAGCAUUGUAAACUUCUUUUGUCAAGGGACAAAAUCAGGCUCGAGAGCCUGACCGCGGGUACUUGAAGAAAAAGCAUCGGCUAACUCCGUGCCAGCGGCCGCGGUAAUACGGAGGAUGCGCGCGUUAUCCGGAUUUAUUGGGUUUAAAGGGUGCGUAGGCGGGCUGUUAAGUCAGCGGUAAAAGCCCGGGGCUAAACCCCGGCGAGCCGUUGAAACUGGCUGUAUGGAGAGGUGGAGAGGUAUGCGGAAUGCGCAGUGUAGCGGUGAAAUGCUUAGAUAUUGCGCAGAACUCCGAUUGCGAAGGCAGCAUACCGGCGGCGAUCUGACGUUGAGGCACGAAAGCGUGGGUAUCGAACAGGAUUAGAUACCCCAGUAGUC